UGAAUAAUUUUUAUAGCGUAAAAGCUAAAUAAAUUUAUACAUACUGUAAUACAGUAAGCCAAAAUAUUUAAUUUAAUUUACAAUAACAAGAGGGCCCCCGAAUAAACAAAAGUAAAGAGGACUGUGAACCUACGAUUUGGAAAAUACAGAUCCAACGGUAGUCCUCGAUGAGAUCAGCUAUCUACAGUCUAUACUGAACCU
rnacentral:lncRNA from 1 species